AUUGAACGCUGGCGGCAGGCCUAACACAUGCAAGUCGAGCGGAUGAAGGGAGCUUGCUCCUGGAUUCAGCGGCGGACGGGUGAGUAAUGCCUAGGAAUCUGCCUGGUAGUGGGGGAUAACGUCCGGAAACGGGCGCUAAUACCGCAUACGUCCUGAGGGAGAAAGUGGGGGAUCUUCGGACCUCACGCUAUCAGAUGAGCCUAGGUCGGAUUAGCUAGUUGGUGGGGUAAAGGCCUACCAAGGCGACGAUCCGUAACUGGUCUGAGAGGAUGAUCAGUCACACUAGAACUGAAACACGGUCCAGACUCCUGCGGGAGGCAGCAGUGGGGAAUAUUGGACAAUGGGCGAAAGCCUGAUCCAGCCAUGCCGCGUGUGUGAAGAAGGUCUUCGGAUUGUAAAGCACUUUAAGUUGGGAGGAAGGGCAGUAAGUUAAUACCUUGCUGUUUUGACGUUACCAACAGAAUAAGCACCGGCUAACUUCGUG
rnacentral:rRNA from 1 species